rnacentral:siRNA from 1 species
AGAAACUGCUCGUAAUUUCGCUGC